AUUGCAGUCUGCAACUCGACUGCAUGAAGUCGGAAUCGCUAGUAAUCGCGGAUCAGCAUGCCGCGGUGAAUACGUUCCCGGGUCUUGUACACACCGCCCGUCAAACAAUGGGAGUGGUGUUUACCAGAAGUCGUUAGCCUAACCGCAAGGAGGGCGGCGACCACGGUGAGCACCGUGACUAAUGUUAAGUCGUAACAAGGUAAC
rnacentral:rRNA from 1 species